rnacentral:tRNA from 1 species
GGGGUUAUGGCUCUGUGGUAGAGUGCUUGCCCAGCACAUAUGAAGCACUGGGUUCAAUCCCCAGGACCACA